AUACAUGCUUCCUCUGAGCUAGCUUAAAGUGGGGUUGUCAUUUUAGCAGGAGCCUCAGGAAAACUGGAAUAGUGAAAAAACGGUACGGAUGGCACAUAUAUUUGAGCUUAUUUUCAGAUUUUACAGUGUUACCGGAGUAUGGAACAGUGUAGCAGUUGGGGCUAUCAUUUGCAGGGAAUUUUCUACAGCGAUUUGAAAAUUGGCAAUUUAGUUUUUUUCGUCAUCAGUUUCCGCGACCGGGAGAGCACAAAAUUCAGGUCUUAUAAACAGAAAACUAGAUAUUAGAGAUGUAUUGCAGAUGGUUCGUAACGAUAGACAUACAGUGAUGUUAAUGUUGCAAUAUCUUUAUUUCAGGCGUGUGGUUACAGACUUUUGUGUGAGGUUUUGAAAGUUGGGUAGGCGACUCUAGGCCGAGAAGUUCAGAAAACUGUUUACUGCCUCCUUUACAAAACGUUCGGCCCUGCGAGACGCUCAUAUUUUACACAACGUUCGGUGGUGUUCGCAUUGUAAGGUCCUUUUACUAUCGAACUAGCCGGAAGGCUGUUUGCAAUCUGGUGGACAAAGCAACAAGCAGAUGUCAGAUCCAUACAACGUGUGCCCACUAAUAAGCGUUGUACAUUGGAAGACAGGGACCACGACUUUGAUCGCUCAGAGAGAACUAGGGUCUUGUGCAUGAAAAAGGUAGCUAAAGUGAGCCUAGACAGGAAUGCUGUUAAGUGGGACCCCUUUGUGUUCGAUGGGACAGCAGUGCAAGGCAGAAUGAAAGCAAACUAUGAUCCCUCUGAGCGUUAGAACUGGACUCGAAACUGAUGAUACACAACAUGUUUGCGUGUUACUUGACUGCCUUUCGAUUAAAAAUUCAAGGCUGCUGA